GGGGGCGACCUGGAUUCGACGUGGGUUGCGAAACCGGAGGUGCAUGCCGAGGAUGCAGGUUCCCUCGUAAAUCCAUCUGCAAACGAUAGUUGCCAACGACGACAACUACGCACUCGCCGCUUAAUACCCGGUAGGGUGCCGUCGGACUGGAGCCGUGCCUGUGCGUCCAGAUCUCCGGCGUCAUCUCUCAUAGGAUCGCGGUGACGCUCUCCCGGGGCGAAUCCGCUAAAUCCACACUGGGAUCGCCGUCGACAUGCCCUGCCCGUCGGGUGGCUGGCGGUUAAAUCCAAAGACUGGGAUAAGCAUGUAGAGCCAAAGGCGGAGAACUUACGGACGCGGGUUCGAUUCCCGCCGCCUCCACCA
rnacentral:tmRNA from 1 species